GCGUACGGGUAAUCGCUGCAGUGUCGCAUUUGCGAAACUGUAGAGGAAAGUCCAUGCUCGCACAGGCUGAGAUGCUUGUAGUGUUCGUGCCUGGCCAAGUCAUAAGCCAGGGCAGCCGGAAUCCGGUUGACGGCCGGGAAAAUACCUAAGUCCUUUAUGGAUAUGGUAUGAAUACCUAUAAAAGUGCCACAGUGACGGAGCCUUCCCGGAAACGGAAAGGGUGGAACGAGGUAAACCCCACGAGCGAGAAACCCAAACAAUGGUAGGGGCACUUUCCCUAAGGAACUCAACGACGGGAAGGACAGAAUCUCUGAUUCUGUAGAUAGAUGAUUACCACCUAUGUACGAGGCUUUGGCCGUUUGCAGUACGCUGGUACAAAACAUGGCUUACAGGA
rnacentral:RNase_P_RNA from 1 species